rfam:Bacillus amyloliquefaciens FZB42, complete genome.
UUCUACGAUGGCAGUCGUAGUUCGAUCAAUGCUGUUAAGAUAGAACGUUUCAGACUUUAGCGAGGAAUGAAACGAUUCGAUGGAGGCAUUAUCAGCGG